rnacentral:rRNA from 1 species
UACAGAGGUCCCAAGCGUUGUUCGGAUUCACUGGGCGUAAAAGGGUGCGUAGGUGGUGAGGUAAGUCGGAUGUGAAAUCUACCAGCUCAACUUGGAAACUGCAUUGGAAACUACCUUGCUAGAGGAUUUGAGGGGGGGGAUUGGAAUACUUGGUGUAGCAGUGAAAUGCGUAGAUAUCAAGUGGAACACCAGUGGCGAAGGCGAAUCCCUGGAAAUACCGUGACACUGAGGCACGAAAGCUAGGGGAGACAAACAGG